AAACAAAAGCUUGCUUUACAAGAUGUCCUUGUUAUAGUAGGAGAUAUAAACCUCCCAGAACAAGUCCAAAACUUAAUUAUCAGAGGACUAACGGCAGUGCCGGACAUGUUACCCUCUAUUUGCUAUAUGGCUCCACAGAUAGAUCAUCUUUUAUAUGAAUUUGAUGAGACUUAUAGGGAGAAAAUCAGGUGGGAGCUCAUUAUGAAUAAGGAUAAAAAUCGUAAGAAUAAAGAAGUAAGUAGGAAGUACAUGGCGCAGAUUAAAUACGUGAAAAAAUGGAUGAAUGAUGAAUCCCUAAUAUGUAUGAAGGACGAUAAGUCAAAAAAGAUGGUUAUUAUUAAGAAGGACGAAUAUGAUAACCAACUGUUAG
rnacentral:lncRNA from 1 species